rnacentral:rRNA from 1 species
UGGGGAAUAUUGCACAAUGGGCGCAAGCCUGAUGCAGCAACGCCGCGUGAACGAUGAAGGUCUUCGGAUCGUAAAGUUCUGUUGCAGGGGAAGAUAAUGACGGUACCCUGUGAGGAAGCCCCGGCUAACUACGUGCCAGCAGCCGCGGUAAUACGUAGGGGGCUAGCGUUAUCCGGAUUUACUGGGCGUAAAGGGUGCGUAGGUGGUCUUUCAAGUCGGUGGUUAAAGGCUACGGCUCAACCGUAGUAAGCCGCCGAAACUGGAGGACUUGAGUGCAGGAGAGGAAAGUGGAAUUCCCAGUGUAGCGGUGAAAUGCGUAGAUAUUGGGAGGAACACCAGUAGCGAAGGCGGCUUUCUGGACUGCAACUGACACUGAGGCACGAAAGCGUGGGUAGCAAACAGG